UACGAAGGGGGCUAGCGUUGCUCGGAAUUACUGGGCGUAAAGCGCACGUAGGCGGCUCUUUAAGUCGGAGGUGAAAUCCUGGAGCUCAACUCCAGAACUGCCUUCGAUACUGAAGAGCUCGAGUCCGGGAGAGGUGAGUGGAACUGCGAGUGUAGAGGUGAAAUUCGUAGAUAUUCGCAGGAACACCAGUGGCGAAGGCGGCUCACUGGCCCGGUACUGACGCUGAGGUGCGAAAGCGUGGGGAGCAAACAGG
rnacentral:rRNA from 1 species